CGAUAACGAAUCCGGAAUUAAUACGAAAUCGGUUUUAGUUUUGUCGAUGACAAAAUAUACGUCACAUUUUUACGUCACGGAGGCAGAAGAUCGAACUGCAGGAUGGAUUUAGCAGAGGCAUGCAUUGGCUGCUUGACAUAUCCCUGGAAGAGGACACCAACUAGCUAACACAGUCAAUGACAGAUGUCUCUUUGAAUUGAUAAAAUCAUAAUCAAAUGGAUAUAAUACAGAAGUUUCAAAGAUCUGUUUUGAUGUAGCCUGAAGAUUU